rnacentral:rRNA from 1 species
GACGGACGCUGGCGGCGUGCUUAACACAUGCAAGUCGAACGGAAAGGCCCUGCUUUUGUGGGGUGCUCGAGUGGCGAACGGGUGAGUAACACGUGAGUAACCUGCCCUUGACUUUGGGAUAACUUCAGGAAACUGGGGCUAAUACCGGAUAGGAGCUCCUGCUGCAUGGUGGGGGUUGGAAAGUUUCGGCGGUUGGGGAUGGACUCGCGGCUUAUCAGCUUGUUGGUGGGGUAGUGGCUUACCAAGGCUUUGACGGGUAGCCGGCCUGAGAGGGUGACCGGCCACAUUGGGACUGAGAUACGGCCCAGACUCCUACGGGAGGCAGCAGUGGGGUAUAUUGCACAAUGGGCGGAAGCCUGAUGCAGCAACGCCGCGUGCGGGAUGACGGCCUUCGGGUUGUAAACCGCUUUCGCCUGUGACGAAGCGUGAGUGACGGUAAUGGGUAAAGAAGCACCGGCUAACUACGUG